AUGCGGAUAGAAAUGCGGUUGUGGUGUCCGUAGAGAGAGGCGUUGGUGUUUAUUUUGGUCCCACUUUCGAUUCUGCGGGGAACGAAGCGAGACGACGAGAAGGACUAAGGAAGAGCAACUAGGAGGAGGUAGAUUUUGUAAAACUAGAGGCUAUGGCGUCUAUUUGCCUCUCAAUUUGCUCGACCUCGAAACCCUUAGUGGUGCC
rnacentral:misc_RNA from 1 species